rnacentral:rRNA from 1 species
UUGACCUCAAGUCAGGCAGGGACUACCCGCUGAACUUAAGCAUAUCAAUAAGCGGAGGA